CAUUGAAAACAGCUGACAACAGAUGAUUGAGAUGAUGUGAAAUAUUGGCAAAUUUAAGAUGAUCAUGUGACUGUUGCAGCCUGUGAGAUUUAAGUAAAUGAACACUGAAAUCCUGAUGAUGGGGUUUUUCCAGGGGAGCUGAUGUGUUUUGACUGCGUGCAGCGUCAGCUCCCGGCGCAACUUAAAUGAUAAAGUAACAGAGUGUUCACCCUUUGGACUGAUCCCGAAUUCUGACUAAUGUUUGAUCGAAGUGUUUGUGUUAUAUGAAAAGAGCGUUUGUGCAGUUAAUUAUAUUUAGGCUUCGCACAAUGUCCGCGCUCGACUUGCACUUGGUCCUCUGUCGAGUGUCUGGACGUGCAGCCAUGUGACGGACGGAGCCGCUGGUCAAACAUAGGCGCAAGAUCUUUUCCUAAGUAUCAGCUCAAGAUGAUAGAAAAUAUUCCUUUAAUUUGAGGCGGGCGACAGCAGCCUGAAUGUUGUCCCUGCUGGGCUCCAACUAACAGUCUCUAGGUUUACAGACCAACACGCUAACUCACUGCACCACAGACACGUCUUCUGACAGGCUCAGCCCAGGUCAGCCCGUGUGUUAAAGUGGACAUGUGUGUGACGGUAACUCUACUUGGAUAAACUGACUGAAAUGUGUUGUCAGAGACGUUUCAGGGAUUUUGACUCAUUCUGUGGAGCUAAUGCUUCAAUUGGGAUUUUUAAAAUAAAAUCAGAUUAAUCAUGAUGACGGGUUAAUCCAUGUUAACACGUCAAUGUUCACAGCCCUAACAUAUACAUUUAAUGAUACUUUAAUGUUUGUGUCACUGCUGAGACGUGUGUGAAACAACAUCUGUGUGGAUUUAAUACACAGUUGAAAUGUGACAACGAUGGAGAAAAUGUCAUUUUAUUCACUAGUUUUUCCUAAAUUAAAAAAAUAAAACUGACUGUAAUCAGUUUCCAUCUUAGUUUCCUCACUGUGGAUUGGGUUGAACUCCCACACACACUGCACAUCAGUCCAUUUCCCACAGAGCUUUUCCACCUGUAUAACACUGUCUUCCUGUUCAUUGUAUAUUUAUUGAAACCAAACCUAAAGUAAAUCACUAUAGUACUCUGUGUGGGUUUGUAAACAAUGAUGUUAUGACAACCGUAAUAAUAAUAAUUGUUGUUAAAAUGAUUAUUGUUGUCAUUGUUAAUAGUAUUGUCAAGUAUAUAAUGAUGUCAUCAAGCAGAGGCCCCUCCCACCUCUUUUAUCAAGGGGUAAUUGUCUCUCUGUAACUCAUUGUUGAAUGUUGUUCAUAACUAUGUGAUAAAUCACAGAGGGUCAUGGAGUUAUUCUCCUUUACAGCUGUUAAUGUUGACCAGCACUAAUAUAAACAAGUUUGUGUUUGUAGACGUGGGAGCAAGAGACUGAGAGCAGAGUCUCCAGGACCCAGCUGUCUGUCUGUGAAGACUGACUGGUCCAUGGGUCACCCUCUAAACUUCAGUCCUGAACCAGGACCUACAGACACACGGUUAAAUUAUAACCAAAAUAAUGUCGUGUCACAAACUCGUGUGUAGUGUGAUUUUAUUUCACUUCCUGUCAAGGUGCACAGUGACGAGGAAAAGAAAACAGGUGGGAAAAUAUACUACUGAUCAAGAAAAUACUAUUUACAAUAAUUUCAAAAACAAAGAACUGCUGAAUCCUUCAAUAUUGCAAAAAUGUUCA